AUUGAGUAUGUUGCUUUGGCUUUGAAAUUGCAUUUAUUAUAUACCAAAAUACUAUUUGGAUAUAUACAAACGAGAUACUAUGUCUUUUUCACAUUUUGAUCAUGAAAAUUCAAAAUCAAAUUGAGAGAAAGAGAGAGUAGAGACUAGACCAUAUAAUUCGAACUUGUAAUGGUAGUAAUGUGUUGACAAAAACAAAUAUAGAGAUGAUGAUAUUAUAACAUAUUAUCAUGGCAUGAGAACUGAAGAGGAAAAUUGUUUUGAUGACUAGUAUCCGCAAUAAUAUUCUAAAUGCUUUUUUCAAAGUUGGAAAUUGUUAAUAUUGGUGAAUAUGAAUUUGGACCGUUUGCCGCACGGCCAACAAUGAUGAAAGAUUGACCAAAAAGAUGACUACAUGAAUGGCUUUUGAUUGUUGAGAAUUAAGAUUGUUGACUUUGUAAAGUGAAUAAAAAUGAAAGAAUAUUAUAUAUUUAAUGAGUAAAUAACUUUUAAAUAUUGACUUAGAAAAAUAUGGAAUAUGGUCGGUGAGAUUUAUUAGGGUCUUAUUGAUGGAAUCGUGAAACCAAAAAAGAAGGUGCAAAUAGUAUGGAAGAUUCAUUUGACAUAAGAAAAGAUUGUCUUUGUCAUCUUAGACUUUGUUACCUUGAUUCAAGUAAACCAAACUUUCACUAUACAAACAUGUACACAUAUUUAGAUUAGUCAUGUGUGUCUAUGUUAGCUAAUAAUACCAUCAAUCCAUAACUAAAGGUACUCUACAAGUAUCCAAAUUCUCAAAUUUCAUUACCAUUUGAAUGUCUCAACCUUCAUCAUAAUUAAGGCAAUCUUCCUAAUCAAAUCAUCAGCAAGAUUUUUAACAAACAAUAGAAAUAAAAUACAACAGUUUGGAGUUUAGAAUUUUAAAAGAGAAAUUUUCAGAAUUUCUCCCUACAGCUUAUACGUGUACAAUUCAUGUUAUUUAUUAGAGUUGUUGUAAUGGAUGAAAACUAGUCUUCCACAAUGUGUUUCCUCUCGAGCUCAAUAAACUGUUUGCUGAGACGGGAGGUUUCAGUGGCGUUUCGAGUCUCGUUCUCUUGUCCUUUGCAACGCAGCAACUGCAUUUGAAGAGUUCGCACAAGCUCAUUUAGCCUCUGGAUAUGUCUUUCUUGCGA